CCCUCUGCCCGGUCCCUCUGUCCCUCUCCGUUCUCUCCCCGAUUCAUCCCCUAAAAAGGCUCCUUUUGGAAGAAAGGUGAAGGAUGGCCCUGUUUCGGAAGUAUAAGGACUGAGAUCUGAUGGGACACUAGAUACCUUGGCCAAAGGAUAUGGACUCAGCUUUGCUCUGGGAUCAUGGCAGCAGAGAUAUGGACUCAGCUUUGCUCUGGGAUCAUGGCAGCAGAAUCUUUUUGAGACUUGCUUUGAACAACCAGGACCUGAUGUCCUCUUGGAGACAGCCAGUAUCCUGGAUCAUCACCUUGACCUUUGCCUUGCCACUGGACUUCAAUGAUCCCUGAGGAGAGAGUGAAGCUGAUGAUUUUGUACCUCUCUGCCCCACUCCAAUGAAGCCACAGCUCAAGACAUUACCCUAGUGACUGUCCUCUUCCAGAACGAAGGAUGAGCAACAAUUGUUUUUUAAGGUCUUUUCUGACUGAAACAUUCUAUGUGCUAAGGCUUUUCAUACUCUAAUAUUCCAUGUGCUAUUACUUUUUCAAAUUCUUACAUUCCAAGUUGUUUAUAUAUCUCAAUCUUUUUGGCUUUAACAUUCUAUAUUCUAAGGACACUCAUCCCUCUGGCAUUCUGUUUUAAGGUCCUUUUCAACUCAGAUAUUCUCUUUUUUGCUCUGUUAUUUUGGGUUCUAUUUUCUAAAGUUCCUUCCAGUUCUGACAUUUUUUCUUCUCUGCUCUAUGGUACUUUCAGAUUCUUAUACCAUAGAAUAUCAAAAUUGGAAGGGACUUCAUAACGGAAGAAGAAUUGAUAUCUGAACACAAUGACCAGUGGCCAUCCAGUCUUUGUUUGGACACUUCCUACGAAAGGAGACCCACCAACAACUGAAAGUAGCUUGUUCCAUUUUUAGAAAACUUUUAAUUCUUAGGGAAGAUUUCUUUCCAUCAAAUCUCACUUUUUCUCCUUUCAAAAUCUAUUAUUGCCAGUUCUGCUCUCUCUGACCAAACAGAAUGAUUUAAUCCUUCUUCCAGAUGACAGUCCUUCAAAUACUUGAAGAUAGAUAUCAUAAUCUUUUCCCUUCUUCCUCCCACUCCUGCCAGCAUUCUUAAUUAUGCUAUGGAAUUCCUCAUAUGACAUCAACUUGAGGCCCUUCACCAUGCUGGUUGCCAGGCUUAUUAAAAUAUGGUGAACACAAUAUCCCGAUGUGGUCUGACCAGGGCAAAGGACAGAGGAAUAAUCAUUUCCUUAUUUCUGGAAAUUCAUCCUUUUUUUCCUGCAAGCCAAAACUCUAUUAUGGGUAUAUCACACUGUUGAUUUAUGUCUGUUGUGGGAUAAAAUCUCUUUUUCAAAUCUAGUUAUGUUUCCUUUCCUCCAUCUUGUACUUGUUCAACUGAUUUCUUGUACUCCAGUGUAAGAUUUUACAUUUAUCUCUAUUAAAGUUCAUUUUAUUAGAUUAAGCCUUUUAGAUCCUGACUCACUGACUCAGUUUUUAGCUUAUCCUUCCUAGUCUGAGGUCAGUUGCAAAUUUGAAAAGGACAUCAUCUCUUCGUUCAUACAAAUUGCUGUCAAAAAUGCAUAAAGUCUAAUAUAGAUCCCCAGGGCUCCUUUAUCCUUCCAUUUCAGUGACAUGUAAACAGUAAGAACUAGUUCCUGAUUCUGCCCACUCAACCAGUUCCUACUCCAUCCAACUAUAUCAACCGGCUCACAUCCCUUCAUCAUCACCAGGAGAAUAGCAUAUGAUAUUUGAUCAAACUUUUUGCUAAAAUGUAGGUCAACAAUAUCUACAGCACUUCUUUUCUCAACUAGUUUAGCAACUGUCAAAAAUUAGAAUUAGUCUAGAAUGAUCUAUUCUGGAAGUGAUGUGACUACUGUUUCCUUUUAUGCAUCCUUACGAACCCAUUCUUUAAUAAUAUAAUCGAGAACUUUCAUAAGAAUGUAAGUCAAAUUUCCUUGUCUAUUGGCUGCAAAAUUUCAUUUUCUUCCCUUUUAUAAAAGUUAAGACAUUGAUAAAAUCUUUAUUUUUUAAAUAUAGGGAAAACGGAGCCAAAUUUAUAAGGAUACAAGUCAUUCCUGAAUUGAUAAAUGGUCAAAGUAUGUAAAGGGGCAAUUUUCAGUUGCAGAAAUUAAAGCUAUCUAUAGUCAUAUGAAAAAAUGCUCUAAAUCACUAUUGAUUAGAAAAAUGCAAAUCAAAACAACUUUGAGGUAUCACCUCAUACCUAUCAGGUUGGCUAAUAUGACAGAAAAAUAAAAUGAUAAAUGUUGGAGAAGAUGUAGGAAAAUUGGAAUAGUAAUGCAUUGUUGGUGGAGUUGUGAACUGAUUCAACCAUUCUGGAGAACAAUUUAGAAUUAUUCCCAAAGGGCAUGAUAAACCAUGCAUACCUUUUGAUCCAGCGAUCAAAGAGAUCACAAAAAAGGGAAAAGGACCCACCUGUACAAAAAUAUUUACAGCAACUCUUUUUGUUAUGGCAAAUAAUUGGAAAUUGAGGAGAUGCCCAUCAACUGGGGAAUGGCUAAAAAAGUUGUGACACAUGAAUGUAAAGAAUACUAUUGUGUUGUAAGAAAUGAUGAGCAGGCUGAUUUUAGAAAAACCUGGAAAGACUUGCAUGAACUGAUGCUGAGUGAAGUGAGCAGAACUGGGAGAACAUUGUACCCCCAAAAACAGCAACAUUGUGUGAUGAGCAACUAUGAUGGACUUAGCUCUUCUCAGCAAUACAAUGAUCCAAGAUAAUUCUCAAGGCAUCUGUGAUGGAAAUCACUGUCCAUAUCCAGAGAAAAGACUAGAAUUUGACUGCAGAUCAAAGUGUACUAUUUUCACUUCUUGUUUUGUUUUUGUUUUUUUUUUUUCUUUCUCGUGGUUUUCCCCUUUUGUUCUGAUUCUUCUUUCACAACAUGACUAAUGUGGAAAUAUGUUUAACAUGAUUGUACAUGUAUAGCCUAUAUCAGAUUGCUCGCUGUCUUAGGGAGAGGAGAGAAGAGGGAGGGAAAGAAAAAAAUUUGAAACUCAAAAUCUUAUGAAAAUGAAUAUUAAAAACUAUCUUUACAUGUAAUUGGAAAAAUAAAAUACUAUUAAAUGGGGGGGAGGAAAAUUAAGAUACUGACCUUCAGUACUGUACUCUGCUUUUCACUGGUACCUCUCCCUUUCACUAUAACUUUCCACACAUCACAUCACUGACAGUGGUUUAGCAAUUAUAUCCUUAACUUUUUUCAGUACUCUAAGAACAGAUGACUUGAUCUGUGCCAUGCGACUUGAAAUCAUCAGUGCGGGGUAGGUGUUCUCUUGAUACAGCCUUACUUAUCAUAAGCAUCAGCUCCCUAUUAACCAUUUUAGUUUUAUUCUCUCCAGUCCAAAAGCCAUUUUUGGCUCAGACAAAAAUGGAAGCAAUAUAAGAAUUAAGCAGUUGUGUUCUUCUCCCUGUUUUAAGUCAUCGUGGUACCACUUAUCUCAGGAAGCUGUCCUUUCCUUUCUUUGAUCUUCAUCUUUCCCUCAACAUAGCCAAGCCCACCCCCAAACUACCAGCUCUCUCAUUGUUGUCUUUAGCUUUCCUCCCCACUCUUAUCUCAUUCUGAGCUUUAGCACUCUCAACACCCUCCUUACAAUCCCAAGGCAUACUUUGGCCUUCAGAACUCUGUCUUUAUUCCUAACUUCUGUAAAUCUCUUUUAAAUAGCUAACUACUUGCAGGGAUUUUAUUUGCUUGACUCUACAUAUUUUUUUAUAAAAGUUUGGGAUUUCUUUCUUUUUUUCGAUGGGGGAAGUGGGAGAGAGAAAAAAGUUACAUUUUUGUUAACUAAAAAAAAUUAAGUUAAAAAAUUAGGUAGAUAAGUUCUCGAUGUAUCUACAUUUUAUAUUCCCAAUUCUGACCUUCCUUUCACACACUUGGUUUCCCCCUCUAUUAAUUAGGAAACUCAAGGCUGAGAAUUUGGAGGUUUAAGGGAAUGACUUGUUGAGUGAAUCAACUUCCUUUCUGUAGGUUCGAUGGUAAUUUCCAGUAAAUAAAAUCCUGAGCAAUGGUUUCUACUUG
rnacentral:lncRNA from 1 species